GGGCCCGUAGCUCAGCUUGGAUAGAGCGGCAGCCUUCUAAGCUGAUGGUCACGGGUUCA
rnacentral:tRNA from 1 species